UUUGGAGGAGUUUUGAUCCUGGCUCAGGACGAACGCUGGCGGCGUGCCUAAUACAUGCAAGUCGAGCGAACAGAGAAGGAGCUUGCUCCUUUGACGUUAGCGGCGGACGGGUGAGUAACACGUGGGCAACCUACCUUAUAGUUUGGGAUAACUCCGGGAAACCGGGGCUAAUACCGAAUAAUCUGUUUCACCUCAUGGUGAAAUAUUGAAAGACGGUUUCGGCUGUCGCUAUAGGAUGGGCCCGCGGCGCAUUAGCUAGUUGGUGAGGUAACGGCUCACCAAGGCGACGAUGCGUAGCCGACCUGAGAGGGUGAUCGGCCACACUGGGACUGAGACACGGCCCAGACUCCUACGGGAGGCAGCAGUAGGGAAUCUUCCACAAUGGGCGAAAGCCUGAUGGAGCAACGCCGCGUGAGUGAAGAAGGAUUUCGGUUCGUAAAACUCUGUUGUAAGGGAAGAACAAGUACAGUAGUAACUGGCUGUACCUUGACGGUACCUUAUUAGAAAGCCACGGCUAACUACGUGCCAGCAGCCGCGGUAAUACGUAGGUGGCAAGCGUUGUCCGGAAUUAUUGGGCGUAAAGCGCGCGCAGGUGGUUUCUUAAGUCUGAUGUGAAAGCCCACGGCUCAACCGUGGAGGGUCAUUGGAAACUGGGAGACUUGAGUGCAGAAGAGGAUAGUGGAAUUCCAAGUGUAGCGGUGAAAUGCGUAGAGAUUUGGAGGAACACCAGUGGCGAAGGCGACUAUCUGGUCUGUAACUGACACCGAGCGCGAAAGGCUGC
rnacentral:rRNA from 1 species